UACGGGGGGGGGCAAGCGUUGUUCGGAAUUACUGGGCGUAAAGGGCGCGUAGGCGGUUCGAUAAGUCAGCUGUGAAAACCAUGGGCUUAACUCAUGGCCUGCAGUUGAGACUGUCGGGCUGGAGUGUGGGAGAGGAGAGUGGAAUUCCGUGGUGUAGCGGUGAAAUGCGUAGAUAUCGGGAGGAACACCGGUGGCGAAGGCGGGUCUCUGGGCAUCUCCUGACGCUGAGGCGCGAAAGCGGUGGGGAGCAAACGGG
rnacentral:rRNA from 1 species